UACGGGGGGGGCAAGCGUUGUUCGGAAUUACUGGGCGUAAAGGGCUCGUAGGUGGCCAACUAAGUCAGACGUGAAAUCCCUCGGCUUAACCGGGGAACUGCGUCUGAUACUGGAUGGCCUGAGUUUGGGAGAGGGAUGCGGAAUUCCAGGUGUAGCGGUGAAAUGCGUAGAUAUCUGGAGGAACACCGAUGGCGAAGGCAGCUCGCUGGGACGGUACUGACGCUGAGGCGCGAAAGCGUGGGGAGCAAACAGG
rnacentral:rRNA from 1 species